rnacentral:rRNA from 1 species
GUUGCAGUUAAAAAGCUCGUAGUUGGAUUUCUGCGGGGGCGGGGCGGCCGACCUCAACUCGAGGUUCGAGCUAGCACUUCCCCUGCAUCCUGCCGCGAACCGUGCUACCAUUAGUUUGGUGGCGCUGGGGAUCGGCUCGUUUACUUUGAGAAAAAUAGAGUGUUCAAAGCAGGCCACACGCCUUGAAUAAGUUAGCAUGGAAUAAUGAUAAAGGACUUCGGUUCUAUUUUGUUGGUGUUCGGGACUGAAGUAAUGAUUGAUAGGGACAGUUGGGGCGGUCAGUAUUCCAAAGCGAGAGGUGAAAUUCUUAGACCUUCGGAAGACUAACAGCUGCGAAAGCGUUCCGCAAGGAUGUUCCCUUUGAUCAAGAACGAAAGUUGGGGGAUCGAAGACGAUCAGAUACCGUCGUAGUCUCAACUAUAAACUAUACCAGCUAGGGAUCGGCCAACGUUUACUUAUAUCGACUUGGUCGGCACCUUAUGAGAAAUCAAAGC